GAAAUUUAAGUUAUAUAGACUCUAAGCCU
rnacentral:tRNA from 1 species